rnacentral:lncRNA from 1 species
AAAGAUAAAUACUCUGCUUUUCUUUUAGUCAUUUUUAAACUAUUCUUGUUAUUAUCAUAGACUUUGAAGAUUUUCCUAUGUAUUUUUACCCCCAUUUUUUAAGGAUUUCUUGUUUCAGUGUUCUCUAGGUAAUGGUAUUCACCCCAACUUUUCAUCCUUUUAAAGCAGUUGUUCUUAGUGGGCUGUCACGAGAAGAUUGAGUUCCAUUAUGCGAAAGGGGUAGCGUUACACCUAACAGACAAGAAAUUCUACCUAACCUAAAGGCCGAAGAACUGGAGUAUUCUUGUGAGAAGUGUGGUGGGAAGUGUGCUCUUGUCAGGCACAAAUUUAACAGGCUUCCUAGGGUCCUCAUUCUCCAUUUGAAACGAUAUAGCUUCAAUGUGGCUCUCUCGCUUAACAAUAAGAUUGGGCAGCAAGUCAUCAUUCCAAGAUACCUGACCCUGUCAUCUCAUUGCACUGAAAAUACAAAACCACCUUUUACCCUUGGUUGGAGUGCACAUAUGGCAAUUUCUAGACCAUUGAAAGCCUCUCAAAUGGUGAAUUCCUGCAUCACCAGCCCUUCUACACCUUCAAAGAAAUUCACCUUCAAAUCCAAGAGCUCCUUGGCUUUAUG